UACGUAGGGUGCGAGCGUUAAUCGGAAUUACUGGGCGUAAAGCGUGCGCAGGCGGUUUUGUAAGCCAGAUGUGAAAUCCCCGGGCUCAACCUGGGAAAUGGCAUUUGGGACUGCAAGCUGGAGUGCGGCAGAGGAGACUGGAAUUCCUGGUGUAGCAGUGAAAUGCGUAGAUAAUCAGGAGGAAUACGAUGCGAAGGCCAGGUCUCUGGGCUG
rnacentral:rRNA from 1 species